GGCGUCAUAGCUCAGCUGGGAGAGCAACAGACUGAAGCUCCAUCACACUGAUAGGUGUUAAUCUGGAGGUCCCGUGUUCAAUCCACGGUGAUGCCA